UGUUAUAUAAUAUUGAAAAAAAAAUUCAUUUCUUUCAGCUGAUUGGUGGUUGGCAUAUGGACAAGGAGCUCCCAAUUUACAAAGCUUUGCUAUCAAAGUCCUAAGUUUAACAUGUAGUUCAUCUGGAUGCGAACGUAAUUGGAGUAUUUUUGAACAUCUUCAUAGCAAACGAAGAAGCAAAUUGGAUCAUGGUCGCUUAAAGGAUUUAGUUUAUGUGAAAUAUAAUAGAGCACUGAUUCGGAGAUUCAAUCAUCGUGAUGUCAUUGAUCAUAUUUCUUUGACUGAGAUAGAUGAUGCAAAUGAAUGACUAACA